GAUGAACGCUGGCGGCGUGCCUAAUACAUGCAAGUCGAGCGAACAGACGAGGAGCUUGCUCCUCUGACGUUAGCGGCGGACGGGUGAGUAACACGUGGAUAACCUACCUAUAAGACUGGGAUAACUUCGGGAAACCGGAGCUAAUACCGGAUAAUAUAUUGAACCGCAUGGUUCAAUAGUGAAAGACGGUUUUGCUGUCACUUAUAGAUGGAUCCGCGCCGCAUUAGCUAGUUGGUAAGGUAACGGCUUACCAAGGCAACGAUGCGUAGCCGGCCUGAGAGGGUGAUCGGCCACCUUGGAACUGAGACCCGGUCCAGACCCCUACGGGAGGCAGAGGUAGGAAACUUUCCGCAAGGGGCGAAAGCUUGACGGGGCAACGCGGGGGGGGUGAUGAAGGUUUUCGAAUCGUAAAACUCUGUUAUUAGGAAAGAAAAAAUUUGAAAGUAACUAUGCACGUCUUGACGGUACCAAAACAAAAAGCCACGGCUAACUACGU
rnacentral:rRNA from 1 species